rnacentral:rRNA from 1 species
GACGAACGCUGGCGGCGUGCUUAACACAUGCAAGUCGAACGGAAAGGCCCUGCUUUUGUGGGGUGCUCGAAUGGCGAACGGGUGAGUAACACGUGAGUAACCUGCCCUUGACUUUGGGAUAACUUCAGGAAACUGGGGCUAAUACCGGAUAGGAGCUCCUGCUGCAUGGUGGGGGUUGGAAAGUUUCGGCGGUUGGGGGUGGACUCGCGGCUUAUCAGCUUGUUGGUGGGGUAGUGGCUUACCAAGGCUUUGACGGGUAGCCGGCCUGAGAGGGUGACCGGCCACAUUGGGACUGAGAUACGGCCCAGACUCCUACGGGAGGCAGCAGUGGGGAAUAUUGCACAAUGGGCGGAAGCCUGAUGCAGCAACGCCGCGUGCGGGAUGACGGCCUUCGGGUUGUAAACCGCUUUCGCCUGUGACGAAGCGUGAGUGACGGUAAUGGGUAAAGAAGCACCGGCUAACUACGUG